CGCCUCAGUGUCCCACCAUGCAACAGUGAGCUAGCAGCAGCAGCAGCUAACCACCACAUUUGACCCUUCGUGUGCCAUGAUGAAUUAGACAUCCGGGCUGUGCGUAUGGAAGAUGGCGACACUUAUCCUCCCUGGUGAAUGGAUCAAAAACUGGGAAAAAUCAGGAAAACACGAGUUUGUACAACUCUGCAAAGAACUCACAGAAAAAACAGAUCAUGGAAGUGACAUUAGAGACAUACAGGCCGCCUUAUACGAGCUCUGCUGGCAAGUUGUACAUGGGAACCUGAAGUUGGAUCUUGUCGCCAGCGUCCUUGGGGACAUGAUGGAACUCCGAGAUGACAUGCCAUCAAUUUUAGCAGAUGUUUUCAGUAUACUAGAUUUAGAGACUGGUGCACUGGAAGAAAAAAACAAACGUGAACAUUACACACAACUGGUGGGGGCAUGUUUGUUUUUUGUUCCUGAGGCCAUCCUGAAAGAGAGGCUGGAUCCAGAAACCCUUGAAUCUCUUGGACUUAUAAAACAAGCCCAUCAGUUCAAUCAGAAGAUUGUAAAAAUCAAGACUAAAUUAUUUUACAAGCAGCAGAAGUUUAACUUGCUAAGGGAGGAGAACGAGGGCUAUGCCAAACUUAUCACUGAGCUUGGCCAAGAACUCUCAGGCAACAUCACCAGCCACCUUGUCCUGGAGAGCAUCAAGUCCCUCAUAGGAUGUUUCAACUUGGACCCUAAUCGUGUUUUGGACAUCAUCCUGGAGGUGUACGAGAGUCGAUCUGACCAAGAUGAGUUCUUCCUGUCCCUCAUCAAGUCCUACAUGUGUGAGCCACUCACCCUUUGCCACAUCCUGGGCUUUAAGUUCAAAUUCUACCAGGAGCCAAAUGAGGAAACUCCCAAAUCACUUUACCACAUUGCUGCUGCUCUGCUUCACCAUAACCUGAUAGAGCUGGAAGAUCUCUACGUACAUCUUAUGCCAGUAGAUGCCACCAUUAUAGAGGAACACAAACGAGAUAUCUCAGAGGCCAAGCAGAUUGCUCGCAAGCUGGUUAUGGUUGUGUUGCCCUCAGAAAAAAGUGAAGACAAAGACAAGGAGAAAGAAAAGGAGGAGGAGAAGAACGAGAAGCCACCUGAUAACCAGAAGCUUGGGCUGUUGGAAGCGCUGCUUAGAAUUGGAGACUGGCACAACGCCCAAAGUAUUAUGGACCAGAUGCCGUCCUUCUAUGCUACUUCUCACAAGGCCAUUGCGCUGGCACUCUGCCAGCUUGUGCACCUGACUGUGGAACCUCUUUACAGAAGGGCUGGCCUUCCAAAAGGGGCAAGGGGAUGUGUGAUGCAUCCACUGAGGAGCAAGCGAGCCCCUCGGCCUGCAGAGAACUUUGAGGACCUACGCAGGGACACAUUCAGCAUGAUCUGCUACCUAGGUCCUCACCUCUCUCAUGACCCAAUCCUCUUUGCCAAGAUUGUGCGUCUGGGCAAGUCCUUCAUGAAAGAGUAUCAAAGUGAUGGCAGACCUGAUGUCAAAGACAAAAUGGAAACGUUAUUGAGUUGUUUCCUGAGUAUUGCAGAUCAGGUGCUACUCCCUUCUCUUUCUCUGAUGGAGUGCAAUGCUUGCAUGUCCGAGGAACUGUGGGGUCUCUUUAAACUCUUUCCGUACCAGCACAGGUACCGGUUAUAUGGACAGUGGAAGAAUGAGACAUAUACCAGCCAUCCACUGUUGGUUAAAGUCAAAGCUCAGACUGUGGAAAGGGCCAAAUACAUAAUGAAGCGGUUGACCAAAGAGAAUGUGAAACAAUCUGGAAGGCAGAUUGGAAAACUGAGCCAUAGCAAUCCCACCAUUCUCUUUGAUUAUAUGCUGUCUCAGAUCCAGUGGUACGACAACCUAAUCGUUCCAGUGGUGGACUCCUUGAAAUACCUCACAUCCCUCAACUAUGAUGUCUUGGCCUAUUGCAUCAUUGAGGCUCUGGCAAAUCCUGAGAAGGAGAAGAUGAAACAUGAUGACACCACCAUUUCCUCAUGGCUUCAGAGCCUGGCAAGCCUGUGUGGAGCCGUGUUCAGAAAAUACCCAAUUGAGUUGGCUGGCCUUCUUCAAUAUGUCACCAAUCAGCUAAAAGCAGGAAAGAGUUUUGACCUGUUGAUCCUGAAAGAGGUGGUGCAGAAAAUGGCUGGCAUUGAAAUCACAGAUGAGAUGACUUCUGAGCAGUUAGAGGCCAUGACCGGAGGGGAGCAACUCAAAGCUGAGGGUGGCUAUUUCGGUCAGAUCAGGAACACUAAGAAGUCAUCACAGCGUUUGAAGGAUGCACUGCUGGACCAUGAAUUGGCCUUGCCUCUGUGUUUACUCAUGGCCCAGCAACGAAAUGGUGUGGUUUUCUUAGAGGGCGGAGAGAAACACCUUAAACUCGUUGGCCACCUCUAUGACCAGUGUCAUGACACGUUGUUGCAGUUUGGUGGCUUUCUGGCCUCCAACCUUAGCACUGAGGACUACAUCAAGCGGGUUCCCUCCAUUGACAUCCUCUGUAACCAGUUCCACACGCCACAUGAUGCUGCCUUCUUCCUGUCUCGGCCAAUGUAUGCCCAUCAGAUUUUGUCUAAGUACGAUGAGCUGAAAAAAACAGAGAAAGGCAACCGGCAGCAGCAGAAGGUACACAAGUAUGUUGCAGCAUGUGAACAGGUGAUGACACCAGUGCAUGAGGCUGUAGUGUCCCUCCAUCCAGCCAGGGUCUGGGACGAUCUCCGCCCUCAGUUCUACGCCACCUUCUGGUCCCUCACCAUGUAUGACCUGGCUGUUCCACAUUCUGCCUACGAGCGUGAGGUCAACAAGCUCAAGGUCCAGAUCAAGGCCAUUGAGGAAAACCCGGAGAUACCCUUGAAUAAGAAAAAGAAGGAAAAGGAACGCUGCACUGCCCUGCAAGAAAAACUGCAGGAGGAGGAGAAGAAGCAGCUGGAGCACGUCCAAAGGGUUCUACACCGUCUCAAACUUGAGAAAGACAACUGGUUGUUAGCAAAAUCCACAAAGAACGAAACGAUAACAAAGUUCCUGCAGCUCUGUCUGUUCCCUCGCUGCAUCUUCUCUUCCAUCGACGCUGUGUAUUGUGCCCGUUUUGUCGAGCUGGUCCACCAGCAGAAGACACCCAACUUCUGCACCCUCCUGUGCUAUGACAGGGUGUUCUCCGCCAUCAUUUACACUGUGGCCAGCUGUACGGAGAAUGAGUCUCACCGCUACGGACGCUUCCUCUCCUGUAUGCUAGAGACAGUGACCCGUUGGCACAGCGACCGCGCAAUCUAUGAGAAGGAGUGUGUCAAUUACCCAGGAUUCCUGACCAUCUUCAGAGCCACAGGCUUCGACGGCGGGAACAAAGCAGAUCAACUGGAUUAUGAGAACUUCCGGCAUGUGGUGCACAAGUGGCACUACAUGCUGACUAAAGCUUCGGUUCACUGCCUGGAGACAGGAGAUUACACCCACAUCCGGAAUAUUCUCAUUGUGCUCACAAAGAUCCUGCCCUGCUACCCUAAGGUCCUAAACCUGGGCCAAGCGCUGGAGUGCCGUGUCCACAAGAUCUGCCUCGAGGAGAAGGACAAGAGGCCAGACCUCUAUGCCUUAGCAAUGGGUUAUUCAGGUCGUUUGAAAGGCCAGAAGGUGCAUAUGGUCCCUGAGAAUGAGUUUCAUCAUAAGGAGCAGCCAGCACGCAGUUCCACCCCUGCCAAUCAACAGAACGGCCCCGGCAGCACAGGCAAGCCUGCCACCAGCACAAUCAAGACAGAGGAGGGGACAGAGGACGGUGAUCGGGGCAAGGAUAAAUCUCAGGGGACCACAAAGCCAGUGAACAAAGCCAACAGUGCAGCGGCCAAAGUGACCACCAGCAACGGGAACGGUGCUCUUAACAGCACCAAAGCCAUUAAAGAACGAGACGACAAAGAGAAAAGUGGGAAGGAGAAAAAAGAGAAAAAGGAAAAGACACCAGGCAGCACUCCUGAGACCAAGGCGGAGAACCGUCGGGAGAAGCAGAGAGACGAGAGAGCAGGAAAGGAGGAGCGGGUGGCACGUGAGGGUAAGGACAAGACCCCCAAGGCAGACAGGGAGAAAGUGAAGGCUGAGGAGAAGAGCGGCAAAGACGACAAGGCCAAAGCCGGCAACGGGGAGCCCAUGGAGCCGUCCAGGGAGCGUGAUGCCAUCAAGGAGUCCAAGAGCAAGGAGAAAGGAGACAGAGGAGCUGUGGCCGGGUCCCUCAAGUCACCAGUUCCCAGAUCGGAGUCAGCCGAAUCGGAGAGGGAUCACAAAAGACGAAAGCUCGACAGUCACUCUUCUCCGUCCCACUCCUCGUCUGUUAAGGACAAUAGCAACGAACCCAAGGAGUCCACAUCCAAGCACCACGCCAACUACAAUUCAGUUUCCCGGUCCAAGAGCAGAGAGAGAGAGAUGGAGAAGAAAGAUUCAGACGGCACACAAGGCCGAUCCAAAGAGAAGAAGGAAGACAAGGAUCGGAAAGACAGGAAAAGAGACAAUGCUGUCAAUGACCGUGAGACGAGCCAAGAGUCCAAACGUAAAAAGGAUGAGAAUGGAACGAAUUCCACCAAAAACAGUCCUGCCGGUGACUCCCCGCUUUCAGCUGAAAAGGAGAAGAGCAAAAGAUCCAAAUCUUCCAGUAAAGAGAAGGCCGAGUCUGUGAAACCCGAGCGAACAUCCUCUGGAGGCAAAAAGGAGUCCAGACACGACAAAGAGAAAUCUGAAAAGAAAGAGAAGAGGGACAGCAGCGGAGGAAAAGAAGAGAAAAAGCAUCAUAAAUCCUCUGACAAGCACAGAUAAUGUGCACUCAUCGGUGAAGGUAAGACACUUUCAACUUCUUUGUAAACGGCUGUCAAUACAACAUCUCCGUGGUCAGUAUUUCAUGUGUUUUCUCUCCUCUGGUCCACAGCCGAACUGGAGAAGCUUUGUUUUUAUCUGCGAGACAUCUGCAACUUCAUCUGUGCUAUAUUAUUAACCCGUGCUGUCAUUUCUGCCUGUGUUUGCUGUAAAUUCCUCUCCCAAGUGUUGUUAGCUGUAGUUAUCUCAACUUACAGAUCACCUCAUUAUUUUUCGGUUUCAGUAUACAGCAAACCACCUGAAAUGUUUUUUUUUAUUAUUAUUAUUAUUAUUCAGUAUGGGCACAAUGUGCUGCUCUUAUCAAAAUGUUAUUGUAAUUAGAACAGUGGUUAAUGUAUGAAAUGAUCUCUUGGUAACGGGGUCAUGGAUUCAAUAAUCUCAUGUUUGAAACUUUGUAUUUUUUGUACGUCGUCAGGCUUUUCUUUUUGCUCGGUUCAUUGGCGUUAACAUGCUUUCCAUACUCACUUACCUCAUAUCCUUUUGAGAUACUUAGAUACUUUUAUUUAUUUAUCUCCACCUUUUAAUCUGAGUAAGACAGUAAACUAGGAUGUGAGGAAAAUGAUACAAAGGACCAGUUUGUAUAUUGUGUACAAUAAUAAAGAGGGUAACAUGAAAUUCACAUCAUGUUAUUUCUUCUUUUCCUUUUUUUUUGGUGUCCCUUACAGUCCUUCUGUGAUUUUGUGUUAAUCAGGUUUUUACAUAAUUUAUAAAAAUGCCAGUUCCAUCUUGAUUCAAAUGUAGAAUUGUAAAGAAAAAUCAGACAAAAUGCUGAACCUCUGUACUCCAAAUACCACUGUUUCGAAAGGAUUUUUGGAGAUUUUAUCUGCUGUACUCAAUGAGUGUAAGCUUUUCUUUUAAAAAAAACAACAAAAAACAAUAAAUAAUAGUUUUCCUAGUGUGUUACUUUGA